CCUACGGGUGGCAGCAGUGGGGGAUAUUGCACAAUGGGGGGAACCCUGAUGCAGCGACGCCGCGUGGGUGAAGGAGCGUUUCGGCGCGUAAAGCCCUAUCGGCAGGGAAGAAGAUGACGGUACCUGACCAAGAAGCCCCGGCUAACUACGUGCCAGCAGCCGCGGUAAUACGUAGGGGGCAAGCGUUAUCCGGAUUUACUGGGUGGAAAGGGGGCACAGACGGCAAUGCAAGCCAGGAGUGAAAGCCCGGGGCCACACCCCGGGACUGCUAUUGGAACUGCAUGGCGGGAGUACAGGAGGGGCAGGCGGAAUUCCUAGUGUAGCGGUGAAAUGCGUAGAGAUUAGGAGGACCACCGGUG
rnacentral:rRNA from 1 species